rnacentral:rRNA from 1 species
UACGAAGGGGGCUAGCGUUGCUCGGAAUCACUGGGCGUAAAGGGUGCGUAGGCGGGUCUUUUAAGUCAGGGGUGAAAUCCUGGAGCUCAACUCCAGAACUGCCUUUGAUACUGAAGAUCUUGGAGUCCGGGAGAGGUGAGUGGAACUGCGAGUGUAGAGGUGAAAUUCGUAGAUAUUCGCAAGAACACCAGUGGCGAAGGCGGCUCACUGGCCCGGUACUGACGCUGAGGCACGAAAAGCGUGGGGAGCGAACAGG